CCCAGAUAGCUUAGUCCAUUUUACUCAGUCCAGACUCACAAGGAUGGUGUUGCCCAUGGUUUAGGGUGUGUCUCCCCACCUCAGUUAACCUAACCCAGAAACUCCCUUGCAGACAUUCUCAGGAGUAUGUAUCCUAGGUGAUUCCAGAUCCUGCCAAGUUGACAAUCAGUAGUUAGCAUCCCAAGAAAUGACGUCUCAACACACCCUGUUCAACAAGCAUGACAAAUGACACUUUGGAACUUUGGUUACAGGGAAACCAGCAACGUUUGCCCACACAGCACACAGGCUGGUCCACAUGAUGACCGGAAGCCAUCCUUCACCGUGUCCUAACAGAGACACACUGUAUCUCAGAAUAACGAGUCGCCAGCCCUCAAUGUGAUUAACUGCAUCUAACUGAGGAGUGCUGAGACUGCAGACACCAGCCACAUCUGGUUUAGGAGAUACCUAGGUUCUAUCUCACUGAGAACCACUCUACCAACUGAGCUACAGCUUCAGCCUCUUAAUGAUUUUUUUUAAAGCCUACCAACCAAACAACAGAGCCUCACCAUGUAUCCCAGGCUAGCCUUGAACUAGUAUUCCUCCUGCAGUGAACUUCCUGUGGCUGGGGUCACAGUUGAGUUCAUUAAAGCCAACUUGCAGGAUGCUUCAAUCUAGCCAUCCUUUGGCAAAUAGAAAAUAGAUCUUUUAAGGGACUCCUUGGCGUAUCCUGCUUGGAUAACAUCGUGAAAAUCCUUGGCAAAAAUGAAAGAAACGUAGAUGUUUUCUGUGGUGAACAAUUGCUUUCGCUGUUGUGUUUCCAGAGAUUUGUUUCUAGGACUUGAGUGGGCAGAUGAAGAGUCUGGAGGUCUGGUUAAAAUGCUGGGGAUACACAGCUGGAGGACUUGCCUAGCAUGCAGAACAAAGAAGGGCAAAGCAGCGCUGACCGCAGACCUGUGAGACUGACUUGACUCUUCCAUCCAUGAUUCUCAAGUUCUACAAAAACACACCUCUGGAGCGUUCUUCCAUGGUGCAGACUUGGAGACUUCUGGCUUCACCUACGCACUGUUGGCAAUGACUGAAUUUGGCAAAUGAAACCAAACAAGGCCAAUAAUAAUGGGAAAUGCCAACCCACAGGAGAGCAUUGUCGAUAGGUUUGUGAGAGAGGACCACAGAACAGCAAAAAUGAAUGCAUUUCGAGCCUGUGGUAUUCAGAAGAGUAAGGUCAACUAGCAUGUUUCUCUGAAGCAAUGCCAAAAUGGGACAACAAACUUCAGUUACACUCACAUUCACAGAUAUUAGGGUUAGGUCUUGGACAUGUUUAUUGAGGGUGGGGGCUGAAAUUGGACCGAUGAGGAGUGUGAUGGUUUGUAUAUGCUUGGACCAGGAAGUGGCACCAUCUGAAGGUGUGGCCUUGUUGGAAUAGGUAUGACCUGGUUGGAAUGGGUGUGUCACUGUGGGUGUGGAUAUAAGAUCC
rnacentral:lncRNA from 1 species